rnacentral:rRNA from 1 species
UACGUAGGGGGCAAGCGUUAUCCGGAUUCACUGGGUUUAAAGGGUGCGUAGGCGGGUAGGUAAGUCCGUGGUGAAAUCUCUGAGCUUAACUCAGAAACUGCCGUGGAUACUAUUUGCCUUGAAUAUUGUGGAGGUGAGCGGAAUAUGUCAUGUAGCGGUGAAAUGCUUAGAUAUGACAUAGAACACCAAUUGCGAAGGCAGCUCACUACACAAUGAUUGACGCUGAGGCACGAAAGCGUGGGGAUCAAACAGG